AAACUAUAUACGCGAAUUCCAAAGGUUUUACACAUUUUCUAUCAUUUUGAAAUGACAAAUUGAGAUUCGACCGCUGAUCAUUCGUCAAUCCGUUUUCUGAAUUUCAAUCGCAUUCAUAAAUUCUGAAUUUGAUAUAGUCCUCUGCAAGUCGAUUAACUGUAAUCGUAAUUUGAAUUUUAAUUUGAUUACAAAAGGCGAAAUACGCGUCCAUUCCCAGCCCUCACUCUUUCAGAACAAUAAAUCUCGGAUUAGCUAGGUUGGAUUGGCAGGAUGGCGUAUGAAUUGAGCGAACAGAAAAAGAUUGGUCUUGGUCUGAUUGGGUUUGGUAUAUUCUUCACCUUUCUUGCCGUAAUUCUGUUUUUUGACAGAGGUUUGCUAGCUCUUGGAAAUAUCUUUUGGCUGACUGGUGUAGCCAUUUUACUAGGCUGGCGAUCAACAUUGCAACUCUUCACAGACCGGAAGAAUUAUAAGGGUUCAGUUUCCUUUCUUCUCGGGAUAUUCUUUAUAUUUGUCCGAUGGCCAGUAGUUGGUAUACUUGUGGAGAUCUAUGGCUGCAUUGUUCUUUUCAGUGGUUUCUGGCCCUCAAUAAAGGCAUUUCUUUACCAGAUUCCAGUAAUUGGCUGGAUUUUACAGUAUCCCGCACUGCUUAUUAAUCAGUUCACAAAGAGGUCUGCUUGACGGUUUUGAUCAGUUCUAAAGAUUUCGAGCAGUAGGAACAUUGUGCACGGGUUGAUGGACAAAAAGAUCUACACAUGAUUGUGUUGGUCAAGCAACAACAUGGAGAGAGGAGUGUAAGUUAGAGAGAAGAACGAGAAGAGAGUGAAAAGAGGAAUUCAUUUGACUUUUUUAGAAGCGACGUUCAGUCGUCUACAUUGUCACAUUAAUCCAGCUAGCGCUAUUAUUUAUCUACAUUGUACUAACUCGGCAUCAUAUUGGCCUUGAAAAAAUUAUCAUGGGACAAUUGUAAUUUUUGAAACUUGGUGAUGUGUUAUUUAAAUUUUAAAGGUGCGAAACAAA